CCAAAGAGAAGCUGGAUUUCCUACUGGAGUCAGCUGUAACACACGUGUGACGAAAUUGGGCUGUGAGGACAAGGCAGUGAGCAGAGAGGACAGCAGUCCUUAUGGGAUCAAGCUCUAAGGUAUCCUAGAUACAUUUGGAGAAUUCACCUGAGCUACAGGAUGUGAAAAGUUGCUAAAACUGCUGUGAGAUUCUGGCUAAGAAAGUUUCAUGAGUUUUACAGAAAAAUGUGAAUGGAAGACAGAACUAGAUACAAAUUUGAAUGGUAAUCUAAAUAAAAGGCAUUUUUCAUU